UACUUGAUGGUUUAAAAAAAAAAAAGAGAUUUCAUCAUCCACUGACACACCACUGAUCCUAGGAUGUUCGUGCUUUCUUCAAAUAGAUCGACAAGAAUAGCCAAACUGGUGUGCUGUAGACCAUCAACUGACUACGACAUACAAGGAGGCAAUUAAUAUAUGUUUUUAACAUCACUGAUAAUUAAUUUCUCAUAUUUACACUGCACACUAAAAGUGUAUUCUUCUGAUUGAUUAGCAGGAAAUAGUAUGCUCAUUUUGAUGCAUACUACUAUAUCUGAGUAGGUACUACAUUUGACGAAGAACAAACUUUGUGACUGUAAUAAAAAAAUGAAUUUAAUUUGUACGUAACUCACUGACUAGUAGGGUGCCUAUUGGAUGUGCACUUCAGAGUCACUGUUUUAUGAAUACUAUAAAUUCGGACUGUACUAUUUUUAUUUUUUUUAUUUUUUGCCUGUUGUAUUCACAGGAUAUUCUUUCAAAAUAUAUUAUUAUUUGAAUAAUGCUAAUAUUCGAGUAUACUUCUGUUUAACAAAGUUUGCCACACUUUUUCCAGCAUGCUUUGACGUAGGCCACAUUAACCUUAAUCUAGCAUACCAUACAGCCCAGAAAUGGGAUGCAGCCAUCAGUAGCACUAUGCCCCAGAGAUGUUUAUGCAAGCAGGCGGUACAGCAUCGCGUGGACCGGUGCCAGACAGCCACAAAACAUGAGAAAUAUGGUUGCAAGUGCAACAAAGAUUUCUUUCAGGUCAGAGGUGCUGGUUUCGUCCUGAAGCAGUCCCUCGAAAGCUGCUGGAGCAGGUUGAAAAGGCGGGAAACCAAAAAAAGAGGGGAGAGAAAAAAAGAGCAAGCAAGGAAGUGGUAUCUUGCAGCGCUGCCUACAUGCAGAGUGCCUUUGGAAAGUGAGAAAUAGGCAAGAAGCAAUGAAGUUCAAGUUUGAGAAGCAGUGUGAGAGAAGAAAAUGUUUGCGUUUGAUGUCACCGUUGAGUCAUUUAUGUAAAUCGAGGAUGAGAAGUCGAAACCGUUUUAGUGUGUACAUGUGCCAUGUUUAAUUCAUAAAUGUCACUUAGACAAUCAAGUUUGGUCGUAUUAAACAUGCAAAUCAGUGCAUAGAAGAUGAUAAUAUCAUACUUGAAAUACAAAAUAUGGAAAUAUACAUUAGCAAUGUUUAUACUAUUAAACUUAAACGGAUACUCCACCCCAAAAAGAAAAUUUUAUCAUUAAUCACUUACUCCCAUGUCGUUCCAAACCCAUACAAGCUUCGUUUGUCUUUGGGAACACAAUAUAAGAUAAUUUGGAUGAAAACUGGGAGGCUUGUGACUGUCCCAUAGACAGCCAAGUAAAUUAUACCGUCAAGGUCCAGAAAAGUAUGAAAGACAUCGUCAAAAUAGUGCAUCUGCCAUCAUUGGUUCAGCCGUAACGUUAGGAAGCGACAACUUUUAGUACUUUUAGUACGUGAAUAAAAAUAACAACUUUAUUUGACAAUUCCUUUGUCAAUAGUCUCCUCUGUGCCUCUCCACAUCACCGUAUGUGGUCACAAGCCUCCCAGUUUUCAUCCAAAAUAUCUUAAAUUAUGUUCCGAAGAUGAACAAAUCUUUUAAAGGUUUGGAGCGACAUGGGGGUAAGUGAUUUUCAUUUUGGGGUGGAGUAACCCUUUAAGUGAUGGGGUACAGAGCCAAACCCGUAUAUAUAUAUAUAUAUAUAUAUAUAUAUAUAUAUAUAUAUAUAUAUAUAUAUAUAUACAAUUUUUUUUUUUUUUUUUUUAUUUAUCAUUAUAUUUUAUUUUUAUCCAUUUGAUUUUUUGUUCCAGUCCUUGAAUUAGACUUCAUAUAGUGCUUCAAAACUACAUUUAUCAAACUAAUAUUU
ensembl:lncRNA